rnacentral:rRNA from 1 species
CAGCAGCCACGGGAAUACGUAGGUGGCGAGCGUUGUCCGGAAUUAUUGGGCGUAAAGGGAGCGCAGGCGGACAUAUAAGUCCAUCUUAAAAGUGCGGGGCUCAACCCCGUGAGGGGAUGGAAACUGUAUGCCUUGAGUGCAGGAGAGGAAAGCGGAAUUCCCAGUGUAGCGGUGAAAUGCGUAGAUAUUGGGAGGAACACCCGUGGCGAAGGCGGCUUUCUGGACUGUAACUGACGCUGAGGCUCGAAAGCCAGGGGAGCGAACGGGAUUAGAUACCCCAGUAGUCCCUGUCUCUUAUACC